GUGUCGUAUAAAAGGAGAGACGGUUAGCACUCCCCUAGACAAGGAUGGAAUACACACAUAUAAUGGUCAUGGCACUGCUGUUGUGCAUCAGCAUAUGACCACGUUUUUUU